rnacentral:rRNA from 1 species
CAUGCUUAACACAUGCAAGUCGCACGGACCCUUCGGGGUUAGUGGCGCACGGGUGAGUAACACGUAGGAAUCUGUCUUGAGGNGGGGGAUAACUCCGGGAAACUGGAGCUAAUACCGCAUGAUAACUGAGGUUCAAAGGUCGCAAGACCGCCUUGAGAGGGGCCUGCGUUCGAUUAGUUAGUUGGUGGGGUAAUGGCCUACCAAGACGAUGAUCGAUAGCUGGUUUGAGAGGAUGAUCAGCCACACUGGGACUGAGACACGGCCCAGACUCCUACGGGAGGCAGCAGUGGGGAAUAUUGGACAAUGGGGGCAACCCUGAUCCAGCAAUGCCGCGUGUGUGAAGAAGGUCUUCGGAUUGUAAAACACUUUCGCUGGGGACGAUGAUGACGGUACCCAAAGAAGAAGCCCCGGCUAACUUCGUGCCAGCAGCCGCGGUAAUACGAAGGGGGCGAGCGUUGCUCGGAAUAACUGGGCGUAAAGGGCGCGUANGCGGCCGAUAGCUGUCANAUGUGAAAUUUUUGGGCUCAACCCGAAAACUGC